GACGAACGCUGGCGGCGUGCUUAACACAUGCAAGUCGAACGGAAAGGCCCCGUUGGGGGUCCUCGAGUGGCGGACGGGGGAGUAACACGUGCGCAACCUGACCUUGACUUCGGGACAACUUCAGGAAAGUGGGGCCAAUACCGGUUAGGAAUCAUUGCUGCAAGGGGGGGGUUGGAAAGCUUCGGCGGGUUUGGAUGUACUUGCGACUUAUCUGCUUGCUGGAGGGGCUGUGGCUUACCGAGGCGUUGACGGGUAGCCGGCCUGAGGGGGCGACCGGCCACAUUGGGACUGAGGUACGGCCCCGACUCCUACGGGAGGCAGCAGUGGGGAAUAUUGCACGAGCGGCGGCAGCCUGAUGCAGCAACGCCGCGUGCGGGAUGACGGCCUUCGGGUUGUAGACCGCUUUCAGCAGGAGCGAAGCUUGUGGUGACGGUACCUGCAGAAGAAGCACCGGCUAACUACGUG
rnacentral:rRNA from 1 species